rnacentral:rRNA from 1 species
AGAGUUUGAUCCUGGCUCAGGAUAAACGCUGGCGGCGCACAUAAGACAUGCAAGUCGAACGGACUUAACCGAAAGUUUACUUUUGGAGCGGUUAGUGGCGGACUGGUGAGUAACACGUAAGCAACCUGCCUAUCAGAGGGGAACAACAGUUAGAAAUGACUGCUAAUACCGCAUAUACCUAAGUAUCACAUGGUACAAUAGGGAAAGGAGCAAUCCGCUGAUAGAUGGGCUUGCGUCUGAUUAGAUAGUUGGUGUGGUAACGGCACACCAAGUCGACGAUCAGUAGCCGGACUGAGAGGUUGAACGGCCACAUUGGGACUGAGAUACGGCCCAGACUCCUACGGGAGGCAGCAGUCGGGAAUAUUGCGCAAUGGAGGAAACUCUGACGCAGUGACGCCGCGUGCAGGAAGAAGGUUUUCGGAUUGUAAACUGCUUUAGACAGGGAAGAACAAAGACAGUACCUGUAGAAUAAGCUCCGGCUAACUACGUGCCAGCAGCCGCGGU